UCCAUGGUUCCCACUCGACUCAGUAACCUUGAGACGACCCCAAAAGAGCUCAAGUGCUUAAGCGACUUUAAAAACCAGGAUGUGUUAAACUUUUCAGCCUGGACAAAGACAGGCAGGAACGUGUUUGAUCUCCUUGGAUCAGCCAGAAAUCAUCCAGAAAAACCUGCUGUCCCACCAGCACAGCUCCACGCUGGGCUCACUUUUCCCCAUGAGCUCAGGCAGGGCAUCACAGAGGUGCUGACACCAAACCACCUCGUUGUAGGAUUAAAAACGAUCUCCUGAGCUAUGAUAUUUAACAGGGAAAUAUUAGAAAACAUCCACAGAGUGACUUACUGUAGUUUAUAUCACAGCUUUGACUGCAAAAGGCGUUGCAGAGACACUCUGCCACAUUUCCAAGCCUGGUUACACUCAGGGGACACAGCCACAAGUAGAACUCACCCGUGUGUAACUCAUCAGGAAAUGAAAAAAAAAAAUUCCCAGAUUUGGCACAUUUCAUCAGCUGGGUGUUGCCUACCUAAGUCAAUUAACUGAGGCACAGGGAACGGUGCUGAUUCCCUGCCUUAGAGUGAUUUCCCAGGAUUCUUCUGGAUAUGAGAUGAGACAUCUCCGGAGACUAUUUCCUGCCAAAGUCAUUUUAAAUAACUAUAUUAAAUCACCAGCGGAAGUUACAA